GUCUAUGGCUAUACCACUCUGAAUGUUCCCAAUCUGACCUUAGAGGCUAAGCAGGGUUGGGCCUGGUUAGUACUUGGAUGGGAGAAAUCUUGAUUUUGAGAAG
rnacentral:rRNA from 1 species